rnacentral:rRNA from 1 species
GACGAACGCUGGCGGCGUGCUUAACACAUGCAAGUCGAACGGAAAGGCCCUGCUCUUGCUGGGUGCUCGAGUGGCGAACGGGUGAGUAACACGUGAGUAACCUGCCCCUAACUUUCUGAUAACUUCAGGAGACUGGGGCUCAUACCGGAUAUAAUCUCCUGCUGCAUGGUGUGGGUUGGAAAAUUUCGGCGGUUGGGGCUGGACUGGCUGCUUAUCCGCUUGUUGGUGAGGUAGUUGCUUACCAGGGUUUCGACGGGUAGCCGGCCUGGGAGGGUGACCGGCCACAUUGGGACUGAGAUACGGCCCAGAAUCCUACGGGAGGCAGCAGUGGGGAAUAUUGCACAAUGGGCGGAAGCGUGAGGCAGCAACGCCGCGUGCGGGGUGACGGCCUUCGGGUUGUAAACCGCUGUCGCCUGUGACGAAGCGUGAGUGACGGUAAUGGGUAAAGAAGCACCGGCUAACUACGUG